CCCUGAUGCGCUCCGAGCUCCCGGCACUCGCACGUUCCCAUCCCCAACCCAACCGAACUGACGGCAGAAGCUGCGGGAAAGAGGCAGGGGCAGAGCACGUGGUUACCGAGGACCUGGCGGCGGCCCACCCAUCCGCGGGCACAGCUGCCCCAGGCCGUGUGUGUUUGGAACGUGAGCAGCAGCGUGUUCCACAGGAGCCGCGUCCCGGUCCACCAGUGUCCGAAGGAGUGGCCAGGUUGCCCCGGCGUUCAGAUGGACCCAGCGGCCAGAGCGCGCGGAGCUGGAAGCGAUUCUGGAGUGUCGCUGGCCUAGCUUCUAACUACCCAGAGCAGGGGAUGCCAAGACCGACACCCCGGGGGGCAGUUUGCCAGGGCUGAUGUGACAGAAUCCUGCACACGGGUGGCUUAAGCAACGGAAAUGCACCGCCUCCCAUUUCUGGAUGUGGGAAGUCCAGAAAGAAGGCUCAAACAAGGAACAACAGCCUGAUUCAUGCCAAGAAGACUUUUCCAUGCUCCCCUGGGCCCACUCCUGCCUCUGCACCCCUGGCCCCCGCCCCGCCCCCAACUCAUUACUCCGGCUCCCUGAGUGAAUGGCUCCCUGUGAACUGGCUCCUGUUUCAUCUUCUUCCUGUUAAUUAACAUGAAGUACCCGUUUCUGAGAAGUGCCUGGCUAUUUAUUUCAGAACAGGCAAGUCCAAACACAGGUCUGCCAACCAGGUAGGAGAAAGAAGCAGGAAAGGGACUUGGCUCAUGGGCACCCAGGCUCCAGCAUCAGCCAGAAAGGGCGCUGGUUCAUAGGGAGCAGGGCUCGGGGGCUCAGCACGCCUCGCUGUGGGACCAACUUUACUAGGGUAUAAAGCGGGGGCUCUCUAAGGUGGAGGCGCCCUUGAAGAGCAUAGCCAACCUGCCCCAACGCGUUACCCGCUCGAGAUCACACUGCAGGUUACACGGCUGGAAAUUCUACCCUGUGGCCUGUGCAGGUUUUACAGAGCCCCGUCAAAGGGAC